GCCUGGGUGGCUCAGUCGGUUGAGCGUCCGACUUCAGCUCAGGUCAUGAUCUCACACUCCGUGAGUUCGAGCCCCGCGUCAGGCU
rnacentral:tRNA from 1 species